CCUACGGGAGGCAGCAGUGGGGAAUAUUGCACAAUGGGGGAAACCCUGAUGCAGCAACGCCGCGUGAGUGAUGACGGCCUUCGGGUUGUAAAGCUCUGUCUUUAGGGACGUUAAUGACGGUACCUGAGGAGGAAGCUACGGCUAACUACGUGCCAGCAGCCGCGGUAAUACGUAGGUGGCGAGCGUUGUCCGGAUGUACUGGGCGUAAAGGGAGUGUAGGGGGGCUUUUAAGUGAGUUGUGAAAUACUCGGGCUCAACUUGAGUGCUGCAUUUGAAACUGGAAGUCUAGAGUGCAGGAGAGGAGAAUGGAAUUCCUAGUGUAGCGGUGAAAUGCGUAGAGAGUAGGAAGAACACCAAUUGCGAAGGCAAUUCUCUGGACUGUAACUGACGCUGAGGCUCGAAAGCGUGGGGAGCAAACAGGAUUAGAUACCCCGGUAGUC
rnacentral:rRNA from 1 species